CUAGGUCGCCCGUUGCGUUACUGACGCAGCUCUCUCACAGCUGAGCACCUCUGCUUAUAUCGGCUUUGCAGGGAGCUGACUAAAUGCUUCAAACAUAGGAGAGUCCAUAACAACAGGAAAAUUCCAAGUUUGUCUUACCUGCUGAUUUUGAGGUAGAAGGUCUAUGGUAUUUCACACUUAGAAACAUGCUACUGCUGUGUUUGAGGAAGCAUAUCGCCCAAUACGUGCAAGUCUGAAAUGAGAAAAGAGUGCACCAGAAUAUUACUAAUAAGGUCUCGACUCAAGGAACCUCCUGACUCACCACUGUUGUGUCUGCGUUAGUCUAUCAGUCUGCAUGGGACACGCCUUAGCUGUGAGAUGUGGAUCAGCUGCUGAGAUACAGUAGAGGUGGUGAAUUUUUACAGAGCACACUAUGUUUGAAGAAUGCUUCCAGAUCGAUGCCAGGUACUCUCUGCCUAAGGACA